rnacentral:rRNA from 1 species
UGGGGAAUUUUGCACAAUGGGCGCAAGCCUGAUGCAGCGACGCCGCGUGAGGGAUGAAGGCCUUCGGGUUGUAAACCUUUUUCGCUCAUGGUCAAGCCGCAGCUUUGGGUUGUGGUGAGGGUAGUGGGUAAAGAAGCGCCGGCUAACUACGUGCCAGCAGCCGCGGUAAUACGUAGGGCGCGAGCGUUGUCCGGAAUUAUUGGGCGUAAAGGGCUCGUAGGCGGUUGGCCGCGUCUGCCGUGAAAUCCUCUGGCUUAACUGGGGGCGUGCGGUGGGUACGGGUUGACUUGAGUGCGGUAGGGGAGACUGGAAUUCCUGGUGUAGCGGUGGAAUGCGUAGAUAUCAGGAGGAACACAGGUGGCGAAUGCGGGUCUCUGGGCCGUUACUGACGCUGAGGAGCGAAAGCGUGGGGAGCGAACAGG